UACAGAGGUCUCAAGCGUUGUUCGGAUUCAUUGGGCGUAAAGGGUGCGUAGGUGGCGCUGUAAGUCGGGUGUGAAAUUUCGGAGCUUAACUCCGAAACUGCAUUCGAUACUGGCGUGCUUGAGGACUGGAGAGGAGACUGGAAUUCGAUGGUGUAGCAGUGAAAUGCGUAGAGAUCAUGAGGAAGACCAGUGGCGAAGGCGGGUCUCUGGACAGUUCCUGACACUGAGACACGAAGGCCAGGGGAGCAAACGGG
rnacentral:rRNA from 1 species